GAUGAACGCUGGCGGCGUGCCUAAUACAUGCAAGUCGAGCGAACAGACGAGGAGCUUGCUCCUCUGACGUUAGCGGCGGACGGGUGAGUAACACGUGGAUAACCUACCUAUAAGACUGGGAUAACUUCGGGAAACCGGAGCUAAUACCGGAUAAUAUAUUGAACCGCAUGGUUCAAUAGUGAAAGACGGUUUUGCUGUCACUUAUAGAUUGAUCCGCGCCGCAUUAGCUAGUUGGUAAGGUAACGGCUUACCAAGGCAACGAUGCGUAGCCGACCUGAGAGGGUGAUCGGCCACACUGGAACUGAGACACGGUCCAGACUCCUACGGGAGGCAGCAGUAGGGAAUCUUCCGCAAUGGGCGAAAGCCUGACGGAGCAACGCCGCGUGAGUGAUGAAGGUCUUCGGAUCGUAAAGCUCUGUUAUUAGGGAAGAACAAAUGUGUAAGUAACUAUGCACGUCUUGACGGUACCUAAUCAGAAAGCCACGGCUAACUACGUG
rnacentral:rRNA from 1 species